rnacentral:rRNA from 1 species
AUUGAACGCUGGCGGCAGGCCUAACACAUGCAAGUCGAGCGAGCGGCGGACGGGUGAGUAAAGUCUGGGAAACUGCCCGAUGGAGGGGGAGAACUACUGGAAACGGUAGCUCAUACCGCAUACCAUCAGAUGUGCCCAGAUGGGAUCAGCUAGUAGGUGGGGUAACGGCUGACCUAGGCGACGAUCCCUAGCUGGUCUGGGAGGAUGACCAGCCACACGGGAACUGGGACACGGCCCAGACUCCUACGGGAGGAAGCGGUGGGGAAUAUUGGACAUUGGGCGCAAGCCUGAUGCGGCCAUGCCGGGUGUGUGAAGCGGGCCUUCGGGUUGUAAAGCACUUUCAGCGGGGAGGCGUUACCCGCAGAAGAAGCACCGGCUAACUCCGUGCCAGCAGCCGCGGUAAUAC